rnacentral:rRNA from 1 species
GACGAACGCUGGCGGCGUGCUUAACACAUGCAAGUCGAACGAGACGAUUGAAAGCUUGCUUUUAAAAGUCGAGUGGCAAACGGGUGAGUAACGCGUAGACAACCUGCCUUUGAGAUGGGGACAACAGUUCGAAAGGACUGCUAAUACCGAAUGUUGUAUAUUUUCCACAUGGAAGAUAUAUUAAAGAUGGCCUCUAUUUAUAAGCUAUCGCUCAAAGAUGGGUCUGCGUCUGAUUAGCUGGUUGGUGGGGUAACGGCCUACCAAGGCGACGAUCAGUAGCCUGUCUGAGCGGAUGAACGGCCACAUUGGGACUGAGACACGGCCCAGGCUACUGCGGGAGGCAGCAGUGGGGAAUCUUCCACAAUGGACGAAAGUCUGAUGGAGCAACGCCGCGUGAGUGAAGAAGGGUUUCGGCUCGUAAAGCUCUGUUGUCGGGGACGAAUGUGCAGUAUUUGAAUAAAGUACUGCAAUGACGGUACCUGACGAGGAAGCCACGGCUAACUACGUGCCAGCCGCCGCCGUAA